rnacentral:rRNA from 2 species
AUAUCAAUAAGCGGAGGAAAAGAAACCAACAGGGAUUGCCUUAGUAGCGGCGAGUGAAGCGGCAAAAGCUCAAAUUUGAAAUCUGGCAGUUUCACUGUCCGAGUUGUAAUUUGAAGAAGGUAUCUUUGGGUCUGGCGCUUGUCUAUGUUCCUUGGAACAGGACGUCACAGAGGGUGAGAAUCCCGUGCGACGGGCUGCCCAGAUCCGUGUAAAGUUCCUUCGAAGAGUCGAGUUGUUUGGGAAUGCAGCUCUAAGUGGGUGGUAAAUUCCAUCUAAAGCUAAAUAUUGGCGAGAGACCGAUAGCGAACAAGUACAGUGAUGGAAAGAUGAAAAGAACUUUGAAAAGAGAGUGAAAAAGUACGUGAAAUUGUUGAAAGGGAAGGGCAUGCGAUCAGACUUGGUAUUUUGUAUGUCUUGCUUUCGGGCGGGGCCUCUGCAGCUUACUGGGCCAGCAUCGGUUCGGGUGGCAGGACAAUUGCGGAGAAAUGUGGCACGGCCUCGGUUGUGUGUUAUAGUCUCUGUCGAUACUGCCUGCCUGGACCGAGGACUGCGUCUUACGACUAGGAUGCUGGCAUAAUGAUCGUACGCCGCCCGUCUUG